AUUGAACGCUGGCGGCAGGCCUAACACAUGCAAGUCGAGCGGAUGAGGAAAGCUUGCUUUUCGAUUCAGCGGCGGACGGGUGAGUAAUGCCUAGGAAUCUGCCUGUUAGUGGGGGAUAACUCGGGGAAACUCGGGCUAAUACCGCAUACGUCCUACGGGAGAAAGUGGGGGAUCUUCGGACCUCACGCUAACAGAUGAGUCUAGGUCGGAUUAGCUAGUAGGUGAGGUAAUGGCUCACCUAGGCGACGAUCCGUAACUGGUCUGAGAGGAUGACCAGUCACACUGGAACUGAGACACGGUCCAGACUCCUACGGGAGGCAGCAGUGGGGAAUAUUGGACAAUGGGCGAAAGCCUGAUCCAGCCAUGCCGCGUGUGUGAAGAAGGUCUUCGGAUUGUAAAGCACUUUAAGUUGGGAGGAAGGGUAUUCACCUAAUACGUGGGUACUUUGACGUUACCAACAGAAUAAGCACCGGCUAACUCUGUGCCAGCCGCCGCCGUAAGAC
rnacentral:rRNA from 1 species